rnacentral:lncRNA from 1 species
GUAGGAUUGGGGGUGAUGGUGGUAGAAGUUGGGGUGACUUAGGAUGUGUGUGGGCCAGUGUCCUUGGGAUGCUUAGAGGUUUGGCUGGUGCUGAAUAGGCAUGUGUGUGCUUAGCUGGUCCCACUGGGUGUUGUUGCUAUGUGGGCGGGGCUGUGUGGAAUGGACCCUGGUGCUUGACCGUUGUUGGUGGAGGAAUGGUCCCUGUGGCACUGGAGUGGAUGGAGGAGAAAUGCGACAUCUGUGUGUGUGGAGGUAGGGGGUGAUGACAGUGUGAGUAGUUGGAGUCUGGGGAGGUGGAUAAGGUGGAACAUAUGAGUGGAAAGAGAAGUGUGGUCUAGGGGUUGUGAUGUGGUUGGAUAGGUGGUGGUCGUCUUGAAGGAUGUUGCAGUGUGGGACCUGUGGAAGAGAUGGGGUUACUCCUGUAGCUGCAGAGGAGUGUGUGAAAUUGAAAGAAGGUGUAGGUGGCAUUUCUGGCUGCUGGUGCUGAGAAUUGGGUGUGGAGUACAGGGUGCAGUUAUUCUGGAGUGGGGUUGGGGGUGAUGGUGGUAAAAGUUGGAGUGACUACAGUAUGGAGUGUCGAAGAAGCAUGUGUGUGUCGGGAUGUAGAGGUUUUGGCUGUGCUGAAUAGGCACCGGGGUUUGGCUGGGUCCCGGCUUGUGGUUUGCUGUCAUUGGGGGUGCUGUGUGAGUGGACACUGUGCCUGUGGUCUUGACCGUUGUAGGUGGAGGAAUGGUGCCUGUUGGUGUUGAGUGGAUGUAGGCAGAAGUGGACCUUACCUGUGUGGAGUCAGGUGAUGACUGUGUGAGUGCCCAGGUACAGAGGGAGGUGGAGAAAGGUGGGGCAUGAGUGGGAAGUGGUGUGAGGUUGUGAUGGGGUUGGAUAGGUAGUGGUGGUUUUGGAGGAUAGUCCGGGACCUUGUGGAGAAGUGUGGCUGCUCCCUGGGUGGGGAGUGUGUGGGUGAAGCCUGUGGCGGGGUAGUCACUGCUGGUGGCCCGGUGUGGCCCUACAGGGGUGCCGGUUCUACUGGUUUGUUUGGGAGUAAUGGUGGUGAGUACCCAGGGUGAUUUCAGUUUGGUGUGUGGAGGAAGGGUGUGAGUGCAAGGAU